AGGUCCUUUAAAAUUAGUCCCGUGAGGCUAAGAAGGCAGCGUCUUAAUUGAGCUCGAAGAAGACAUUUGUCUACCGCUUAGUCUAAUUAUUAUAGAUUAAGCGGUCUUUUUU
rfam:Lactobacillus ghanensis DSM 18630 NODE_7, whole genome shotgun sequence.